rnacentral:rRNA from 1 species
UACAGAGGAGCCAAGCGUUGUCCGGAUUGACUGGGCGUAAAGCGCACGCAGGCGGGCGCGCGCGUGGGGGGUGAAAUCUGGCCGCUUAACGGCCAGGCGCCAUCCCAUACGGCGCGUCUGGAGUGAUGCAGAGGUCGAUGGAAUUGCCGGUGUAGUGGUGAAAUGCGUAGAGAUCGGCAGGAACACCCAGGGGGAAACCAGUCGACUGGGCAUCUACUGACGCUGAGGUGCGAGAGCGUGGGGAGCGAACCGG